GUUUAUUAAUUAUGCAUAUGUUCAGUGAAAAUUAUGAUAUGUUAUGAUACAAAGUGCUUUGAUAUGGAUCGAAUUUAUGCUCUCAACCUAACUAUGUUUCAGUGGGCCUCACUAAUGGAGAUUAUACAUUGGUAAUUAGUGGGUCUUGCCAAUCGAGAUUAUACGUUGGUACUCAAUGGACCUUGCCAAUGGGAGUUGUGUGUUGGUAUCUAGUGGAUCCUAUCAGUGGAGAUUGUGCGCUGGUAUUUAGUAGAUCCUGUUAGUAGAAGUUGUGUGCUAGUAUUCAGUAGACCCCACCAAUGAAGGUUAAAUAUUGAUCAUAGUUGAGAUUAUUGAGUUAUGAGUGUUUUGAUUCGAAUCGAAUUUAUGAUUAUAUUGUAUAUGAAUAUUUGAAAAGAUUGGAUUUGUAUUGAAUUAGUAUGUAAUAUAUUCUUAUGUUUAUUCAUAGCAUUAUUUUUAAAUAUUAUAUAAUAUCUGAAUUAUCUAGUUGAGCUAUUCAUUACUUAUUGAGUUUUCAAGCUCAUCACUUCUCUCUUUUAUUUUUCAGAUUCAGAUAAUUAAAUUAUGAAUAUGGGUAUUAUUUUUGGGAGAGAAAUUUAGAGGUGAAACUUGGCAUCAUCUGCUUUAUUGAACUUAGAUUUAUUUAUAUUAUUUUUAGUGAAACUUUAUUUGAUGUCAAAUAUUUGAUUUAGUUAUUUUAAAAUAAAGUUGAAUUAUAAUUAUUUAAAUUUUAUUCCACUAUGAUGCAUUGAUAUUGUGAUAAGAUGCCUUGCAUGCUUGUGGGGAGAGUUUCCUAUAAGUGUGCGAUAGUUGCCAUGAUCCUAGACUCAUGAUCUCGAAUCGGGGGCAUGAUAAUUAAUAUGAUAUUAGAGCCAGAUUAAUAUAGUAUCAGAGCAUAAGUGGAUGAAUUAUAAUACAGAAUCAAACAGAGUGUAGGUGGAUAGACAUUAGAGACAUUGGGAUGAUAACUGAUAUUGAUUGUGACAACUUAGAAACCAUAGAUUUAAUACAAAUACAUUGAUCGAUAUGAAUCAGAGAACGUAGCGAAAGCAUGAUGAUCUGAAUUAUCUGGAUUAUUUUGACAUAGUCAGCAAUAUUGAAUCUUUGAGUUAAAAGUUUAUGAUGGAAUACAUGAUUUGAUAUUCCUUAAUAAAAAAAAUCAUUUAUAGGGAAAGGAUAAUGUUUUUGAUUCUAGACUAUUUCGAAUAUCUCUAUGUGAUUUUUACAAGUAGAUCUUCUAUUUACAAUGCUAAGAAAAUUCAUAAAAUCCUAAGUCUUGAAUGAGUAGACUAUCAAUUUUUGAUCUUAAAUUUGAAAAUAUUUAGCAAUAGAUUUUCUCUCUCCUAAAAUUGAAGUUUAUACUCCUCUAUCCAUUAGGAAGAAUGUGGGAUUGUUUAUCAAUUUUAAAUUUUAUACUCGAAUAGUCAUCUAUUGAGAGAUAGUAAAGUUUGAUCAAAAUCUUGUGAUAGAAUGAUUAAGACAAGUUUAGAUGAUGUUUUGGCAACGAACUCAAUAUCCAUAUUAGGAAUUAAAAUAUUGAUUUGAUUGUAAGGAAUAAAUGGUUCUGAUACAGAUCAACCCUUGUGACAUUGACAUUUUUCUUAUGAGACAAUUUAAUGAUAAAAUUGUAUUGAAAACUAGAAUAUUGAAAGGUUCGAGGAUGAGAUUACAACUAUGAAUCCAAAACAAGAAAUUUUGAAGACUUGAGCAAGAAAAAUUUCAAGGAUGAAAUUUCUUUUUAGGGAGAGAGAAUGUGAUACCUCAAUCCCCAAUAUAGUACACAUCUUAAAGUGGGCUACAAAAAAAUAAAAAAAAAGAAGGAAGAGACUUAUUUGACCAGCACAUGCAUUGCACGUGCUGGAAUAGCAUGGGAAAAGAGCAACAUGGAAGAACUCCUGAGUUCUUCACCAAUUAGGACUCCUAAUCCACUCAAAAAAUUGAGUGGAAAUCGAACUCAAAUUUCUUUCCCAUGGAGGUCUAUAAGGCAUAAAUCAUUUAGUUUUCCCCAUGCCAAGGAUCAAUGUU
rnacentral:lncRNA from 1 species